rnacentral:lncRNA from 1 species
CCUCCUUCCUAAACCACCCCCUUCCCGCUCACUCCCCCCCAACCCCCGCCCAUGCUACGCUGUGGAGAAGGAGGAAGUUUUGAGUAGGCAUCCAAAGUCAACAGGGCCAGAUAUGGAUCUUCUGCAGCUCCUCCUGGUGGAUCUUGAGGUUCCUUUAAAGCACCUCCACUCCUGGAACCUUCCCUGGCUCCGCUAUCGAACUGCUGGGUGGGGAUCCGUUCCUGCUAUUACCCUCUUCUACUGAGAUGGGCAGCAAGACAGGACAGCACAGCUGCUCAGUGCAGUUCAGAGGAUGGGGAAGUUCCAGCAAGGAAAAGCAAGAAGCUCCCGAGGAGACAGGUCAUUCAAUAUUCUAGUCUAGAAGAGCAGAGACCGAAGCUGGCAUCCUGUGUUGCUGAAUUGAGGAACUAGUACUGAAUUUUGCACCUC